rnacentral:lncRNA from 1 species
ACAUUCCGAAGUUCUGUGAAAAGAGGCACUAGUGCUCAGCCACGCAAGGCAGGAAAAGAGAGGAAGUUUUUGCAUUCUGAUUACAGCCUGAGUUCCCUUUAGCAAGGCUGCGUCUCUCCACCCACUCCUCACCAAGAACUCCUGAACUUGAGGGUGGACGACUUAAAAGCUAGCUCCCACAGACUCACCUGAAAAGACUUCAGCUGCGCGUUCAUUGAACUGAGAGGCCGGAUCACCUAUGUGAGGCGGUGGGAACCCUAUGGAGAUUUCUAUUAGAACUUCAGCAAAGUGCACUGCUGCAGCCGGCAGAAGCCAGCUCUCAGGCUGACAGGCAAAUGAUCCAGAUCCGUGAUCGGGGGCCUCUGGGUGGCAGCUCCGGCCUUUUGGUUGUUGGACAACUAUAGUCAGAACUGAAAUGGAACAGGGGCAGGAGAAAUAACACACUUUUACUCUACGCAACUGUUGCUUUCACAUGAUCUUCAGGAAUGUUACUGGGAUAACUGUUCAAAUCAAAUCCCAUGCUCCUAUCAUGGUACUGAUUAUUAAGGUGACUUUAUGAAAGGAUCCCUCCAAAAUAACACACACCAGAAUAGGGCUCCUGUCUUACUGAGCAGUAUACACUAUGGAGAGAUCCUUCAAAAUCCGUUGGGAGGAAGAACAGAUGAAUUCAUAAAACUGUUCAUCUCUGUUAUCCUGAAUGGUCACUCAGACAACAUUUUACUAAACUAUCAAGGCAUUUGAACUGGUCGAACAGGACGACAGAGCAGUGAGCAUGAGAUCAUUGCAGCCGAGUAGCAAACUGGCACCCAGCCUUUUCACCCCUUCGGUUCGGGAGACGAACGUGUGCAGUCCUUGUUUCUCAAGUCAGCACAGCCUGGAAGGAUUCCGGGGCUCUCCCACCUUCUACCAUUCUGCUGCCAGUCGGUGGCAAUGAUUGGUGCAGAUUCUGCGCAGUGCUUUGUGCCUGGAAUAUGGAGAAGGAAGGGAACGAAGACGAGCCCUCUGGAUCUCCUCUGAGAAGUACCGGGAGCCCAGAAG